rnacentral:lncRNA from 1 species
AAUUGCACGGCCCUCAGCUCUCCGAAGAAGUGUCGCUCAAGCUUCUUUUGCUUUUCUACUGCUUCACGUCGAGUACGUCGUCUUUGAUAUGGGGCUCGGUGGAUUUUCGGGGUAUUUAUAGUCUAGAGAGCAUGUGGUAAAAAUUGGAAGGCGAGGGGGCGAAGGGAACCCCAAGGCUGCCAAUCGGCCUGGGAGGGUCCAGGCCAAUCAGCCUAGGCCUUCCUUUUGCCCUCUCACG